rnacentral:rRNA from 1 species
UACAGAGGGUGCGAGCGUUAAUCGGAAUUACUGGGCGUAAAGGGUGUGUAGGUGGUUGGGUAAGUUAGAUGUGAAAUCCCCGGGCUUAACCUGGGAACUGCGUUUAAAACUGCUCGACUAGAGUAUUGCAGAGGGUAGUGGAAUUUCCAGUGUAGCGGUGAAAUGCGUAGAUAUUGGAAGGAACACCAGUGGCGAAGGCGACUACCUGGGCAAAUACUGACACUGAGACACGAAAGCAUGGGGAGCAAACAGG